rnacentral:rRNA from 1 species
ACUCCUACGGGAGGCAGCAGUGGGGAAUAUUGCACAAUGGGCGCAAGCCUGAUGCAGCCAUGCCGCGUGUGUGAAGAAGGCCUUCGGGUUGUAAAGCACUUUCAGUUGUGAGGAAGGUGGUGUCGUUAAUAGCGGCAUCAUUUGACGUUAGUCAACAGAAGAAGCACCGGCUAACUCCGUGCCAGCAGCCGCGGUAAUACGGAGGGUGCGAGCGUUAAUCGGAAUUACUGGGCGUAAAGCGCAUGCAGGUGGUUUGUUAAGUCAGAUGUGAAAGCCCGGGGCUCAACCUCGGAACUGCAUUUGAAACUGGCAGACUAGAGUACUGUAGAGGGGGGUAGAAUUUCAGGUGUAGCGGUGAAAUGCGUAGAGAUCUGAAGGAAUACCGGUGGCGAAGGCGGCCCCCUGGACAGAUACUGACACUCAGAUGCGAAAGCGUGGGGAGCAAACAGGAUUAGAUACCCUGGUAGCACAGAG